GUCUUUGCAUCGGAACUAAACACAUUAUUUUUUUUUUUUUUUUUUUUUUUUAAACAGUUGUUGGCAUGACACGGGUUAUGUUCUUCUCAUAUAUGUUAUGAUGGUAUGAUACUAAACCCCUAACGGGAAGGAUUGUGCCUGAUGUUCAUAUGAUGAAAUCAUAAUCUUUCAGUCAGUUUAAUUGAAGUCUGGAGCUGGCAUGUCAGUUAACUGCUAGUAGUCUGUUGUUAUUUAUGUAUUAUUGUCAUUUUGUUUAUUUUCUUUGGUUACAUCUUCUGACAUCAGACUCGGAUUUCUCUUGAACUGAAUUUUAAUGUGCGUAUUGUUAUGCGUUUACUUUACUACAUUGGUUAGAGGUAUAGGGGGAGGGUUGAGAUCUCACAAACAUGUUUAACCCAGCCGCAUUUUUGCGCCUGUCCCAAGUCAGGAGCCUCUGGCCUUUGUUAGUCUUGUAUUAUUUUAAUUUUAGUUUCUUGUGUACAAUUUGGAAAUUAGUAUGGCGUUCAUUAUCACUGGACUAGUAUAUAUUUGUUUAGGGGCCAGCUGAAGGACGCCUCCGGGUGCGGGAAUUUCUCGCUACAUUGAAGACCUGUUGGUGACCCUCUGCUGUUGUUUUUUAUUUGGUCGGGUUGUUGUCUCUUUGACACAUUCCCCAUUUCCAUUCUCAAUUUUAUGUCCAUAGUACACGGAUGCCCCACUCGCACUAUCAUUUUCUAUAUUCAGUGGAUCAUGAAAUUGGGGUAAAAACUUUAAUUUGGAAUUAAAAUCAUAUCAUAGGAAACAUGUGUACUAAGUUUUAAGUUGAUGUAACUUUAACUUCAUCAAAAACUACCUUGACCAAAAACUUUAACCUGAACUUCGCAUUAUCAUUUUCUAUGUUCAGUGGACCAUGAAAUUGGGGUCAAAACUAUCAUUUGACAUUAAAAUUAGAAAGAUCAUAUCAUGGGGAACAUGUGUACUAAGUUUCAAGUUGAUUGGACUUCAGCUUCAUCAAAAACUACCUUGACCAAAAACUUUAACCUGAAGCGAAAGGACGCAUGGACGGACGAAGGAAUGGAGGCACAGACCAGAAAACAUAAUGCCCCUCUAUUAUUGUAGGUGGGGCAUAAAAACCACAAAAUUUCCUUUAAAUACCAAUUGGGGGGCAGCAUCCCAACAACCGGUUGUCCAAUUCAUCUGAAAAUUCCAGAGCAGAUAGAUCAUCACUUGAUAAACAAUUUUACCACAUGUCAGAUUUGCUCUAAAUGCUUUGAUUUCAGAGUUAUAAACCAAAAUCUACAUUUUACCCCUAUGCUCUUUUUUUAGGCAUGGUGGCCAUCUUGGUUGGUUGGCCUGAUCACCGGACACUUUUUUUAAACUAGAUACCCUAAUGAUGAUUGUGGCCAAGUUUGGUUAAAUUUGGCCCAAAUAGUUUUACAGGGGAAGAUUUUUGUAAAAGUUAACGACGACGGACGCCAAGUGAUGAGAAAAGCUCACUUGGGCCAGGUGAGCUAAAAAUAACAAUGCCA
rnacentral:lncRNA from 1 species